rnacentral:misc_RNA from 1 species
UCUAUCCAUCCAACAUUAUAAGUUGUUGAGCGAUCGAUCUAGGAUCGAUCCUCGACGGUGGGCACAUUGGGUGCUACUUCUUUUUUCAACUAGUGGUGUAUGACAAAGGCAGCUGAGCUGUGUUCUAUUAUGUUUCUGGGAGUGGUGCGUUAAUUACUGCUAAUCCAAACGAUCCAGUGUGGGCAGUGUCUAUGGCCGAGGUGUCUGUUAAGGCGCCACUGACUGUCCAGGUUAGGGACAUGGCAUGUGGUGCUGCUGUCUCUCGACUGCCCGUCAGUUUGUCAAAGAAAGACGAUACCAACCAGUGGGAAACUAUCGAAGAAGGGAUAACAACUUCUGACGGGGUGGUAUCGAUGAUGCAGACAAAAUCUUUGAAACAGGACUCACUGUACAAGCUGCGUGCGCAAACAUCUUCGUAUUUUGGCAAUAUGGGAUCCAAAUCCUCGUUUCCUUUCAUUGAGGUUGUGUUCGAAAUCGACAAUGAUCGUCCAAAUAUUUUCAUUUUGUUGAACAUCAGCCCAUUUGGAUAUAACGUGACUGUUGAAAUAUGAAUACGCCUUGGAAAUGUCGACCAUCUUAUACAAAUUGAAUUAAUGUAUUAAUUUAAGACAUGUGCAUAUCUGGUUUAGGGUAUAUAGUUUGCAUAUUCCACUGGUAGGGGUGUGGUGUUUUGCAGUAUACCAGGUUUGAUAUCCAGGUGUGCUCUAGUGGUGUCGUUACACAAAACAAACUUUUUUAUAUUCCUCUAUGAAGAACUAUGGACGAAACAAGGGUAUAAGAGAACUUUUCAAAUAGUUAAAAGAAACCUCACUUUUCAAGUGUCAUUGCAUGAGCCGAAUGCAUAACUCGACUUUAGAAAUGUGAUUUAAAGCACCAGAGAACGAUCCUGGAAAUUUAAAAAUUAAAUACAUGGAACUUUCAGUACUUGUAUUGAUCAAUUUCGUUUUUCAAACCCUCCUUUUAAAACUCCACACAUACACUGUGGAAUGACUUACUUGGGUUUUAAUGAUAAACGCGAUUGCAGUGUUUAUUUUAUUCUUCUACAAGAGAAUAAAUAAACCUUGAAUAUUUUUUUUAUCUUUGACUGAAUUAUACCAUUUUCCAACAAGUGGUAAACGUCUUUCAAUAAAAGCAAAUAAUUAAAAAAAGGCAAUAGACGUCUUAGGCAGAAGUUUAUAACGUUGGUACAUGAAUAGUAUUAAACAAUACAUACAGUAUAUAUAGUAGUAUUUAUCACUUUCAUAAAUAGCAAUAAUGAUGAACCCCAAAACCUUUUCUUUUUUUUCAAAGCAAAAAUAAAAUAAAAUAAAAUACAUAUUAAACAAAAUUCCACACUAUAAUUUUACAAUCAUGAUGAAUAUGAUAAUCACUGCAGUUGAUUUGAUAUUUUAAAAGUAAAACAUCAUUAGAAAAAUAGUGUCAUAUCAGUUAUAACAGCUAAAACAACAUUCAGAAUACAGACACCUCCAUCCUUACAACACUGGUAUAACCAACUUUUGGAUUCCAGAAAAUCAGUAGCAGGGCCACUUAAGGUGGUCUUCGCUCUGGUCGCCAACUAAACUCGUCAACAAAAAUUCGAAGUCCUAAAACCCCCAGUGUUUAGCAAACGAAUAUAAUGCAUUUAUUGUUUAUUAGUGGGGAACAUGCAACAUCUUAGUCAGCUAAAUAUCUCGUUGGAAGAUUACCAUAUAGAUGAUGCAUGUUGGUGUACUUCUGAAUACUGUAGGUAAUCUUUUCGAAUGUUGCACCCCCUUCCAAGCAAAAAUGCAGCAUUCACCACUAAAAUCAUAUUAAAAAAAAAAGAGUUAAUUUAAUUACAGAAAGAAAGAAGUGUUUUAUUUAACGACACA